GACGAGGCGCCGCCCGCCCCC
rnacentral:miRNA from 1 species